CCCUCGAUGCGGCUAUGUCUCCCACGUGUCGAGGCACGACUUAGAGACAUAGGCGCAUGGAAAGCAAUGUCGCAAGUCGGGAAUCAUUACACAACCCAUGUACAUAUAUAAUAUAAAGGGGGAAUAAUAUCAAUAGUUGGCUUACACUCGCCACGUCACAUCAAAGUACAUAAAUAACAUCCAUCAUACAAUCACUCAUGGCCCGACUACGGCACCAAAAUAGAAAAGACCCCCAACAAGCGACUAGGCCCUGAAUCUAACCCCGAAUAGGUACCACUACUGAUCAUCAGGAAAAGAAACAUAGUAUCGCUGAGAGUCCUCGUCGUACUCCCACUUCAGCUCGAGCGCGCCAUCCGGAGGAGUAUCAUCGGUCCCUGCAUCUGGUGUAAUAGUAAUCUGUGAGCCACAAAGGACUCAGCAAUCUCGCACCCUCGCGAUCAAGACUAUUUAAGCUUAAUAGGUAGGAAAGGGGUAAUGUAAGUGGAGCUGCAGCAAGCGACUAGCAUAUAUGGUGGCUAACUUAUUCGCAAAGGAGAGCGAGAAGAGAAGGCAAAGCAAGAGCGGAAACUAAAUAGAGCAGCCUACGCAAACAUAACUCCAACGCCGUGUCCACUUCCCGGACUCCGCCGAGAAGAGGCCAUCACGGCAACACACUCAGUUGAUUCAUUUUAAUUAUUUAAGUUCAAGUUAUCUACAACCGGACAUUAACAAAUUCCCAUCUGCCCAUAACCGCGGGCACGGCUUUCGAAAGAUCAAUCCCUGCAGGGGGUCCCAACUUAGCCCAUAACAAGCUCUCACGGUCAAUGAAGGAAUAGACCUCCACCCAGGACCCAUCGACCAGACUCGGUAUCCCGGUACAACAAGAUGAUUCGACAGGUCAAAACUAGUCCAGCAACACUGCCCGAAUGCGCCGACAAAUCCCGAUAGGAGCUGCACAUAUCUCGUUCUCAGGGCACACUCAGAUGAGCCAGACGUCGGGUAGGCCAGCCCAGAGUUGCCCCUGGUAGCCCCGGACAUCGCUCGGUGGGACCAACACUCAGAGGAGCACUGGCCCGUGGGGGCUAAAAUAAAGAUGACCCUCGGGCUCCGGAAACCCAAGGGAAAGAAAAGGGGUAGGUGGCAAAUGAUAAAACCAAUGUUGGGCAUUGCUGGAAAAGCUUUAAUCAAGGCGAACUAUCAAGGGGUUCCCAUUAUAGCCCAACCGCGUAAGGGACGCAACAAUCCGGGAACAUAACACCGAUAUGACGGAAACUAGGGCGGCAAGAGUGGAACAAAACACUAGGCGAGAGGCCGAGCCUUCCACCCUUUACCAAGUAUAUAGAUGAGUAAAGAUAACAUAACAAUAUAAUGAUAUCCCAACGAGUAAAUAAAUGUUCCAACAAGGAACGGCUCCAAUCUUCACCUGCAACUAGCAACGCUAUAAGAAGGGGCUUGAGCAAAGCGGUAACAUAGCCAAUCAAUGGUUUGCUAGGACAAAGGUGGGUUAGGGGCUCAAGCAUGGCAAUUGGGAGGCUGCCAAGCAAGUGGUAGGCAUCGUAGCAUUGGCAAAGCAAAAGAGCGAGCAAACUAGCAUAGCAAAGAUAGUAAUGAUUUCAAGGGUGUGAUCAUCUUGCCUGCACAGUUGUCAGAAUUGACUGGAUCCUCAAAAGCAAACUCAAC
rnacentral:lncRNA from 1 species